GACCAUAUUUAAUUCACCUCUCUAUGGUCGCGGCUG
rnacentral:ncRNA from 1 species